rnacentral:rRNA from 1 species
CAGCACCUCAAGUGGUCAGGAUGAUUAUCGGGCCUAAAGCAUCCGUAGCCGGCGCUGUAAGUUUUCGGUUAAAUCUGUACGCUCAACGUACAGGCUGCCGGGAAUACUGCAGCGCUAGGGAGUGGGAGAGGUAGACGGUACUCGGUAGGAAGGGGUAAAAUCCUUUGAUCUAUUGAUGACCACCUGUGGCGAAGGCGGUCUACCAGAACACGUCCGACGGUGAGGGAUGAAAGCUGGGGGAGCAAACCGGAUUAGAGACCCGCGUAGUCC